UGGGGAAUUUUGGACAAUGGGCGCAAGCCUGAUCCAGCAAUGCCGCGUGCAGGAUGAAGGCCUUCGGGUUGUAAACUGCUUUUGUACAGAACGAAAAGUCUUGGGUUAAUACCCUGGGACCAUGACGGUACUGUAAGAAUAAGCACCGGCUAACUACGUGCCAGCAGCCGCGGUAAUACGUAGGGUGCAAGCGUUAAUCGGAAUUACUGGGCGUAAAGCGUGCGCAGGCGGUUAUGUAAGACAGAGGUGAAAUCCCCGGGCUCAACCUGGGAACGGCCUUUGUGACUGCAUAGCUAGAGUACGGUAGAGGGGGAUGGAAUUCCGCGUGUAGCAGUGAAAUGCGUAGAUAUGCGGAGGAACACCGAUGGCGAAGGCAAUCCCCUGGACCUGUACUGACGCUCAUGCACGAAAGCGUGGGGAGCAAACAGGAUUAGAUACCCUGGUAGUCCACGCCCUAAACGAUGUCAACUGGUUGUUGGGUCUUAACUGACUCAGUAACG
rnacentral:rRNA from 1 species